GAGAAAGAGAAUCUUAGUGAAUGUCAUGGUAGUCAUAGAAGCAAGAGCAUUAAUUGUUUUAUUAAAUUCAUCCCUCCCUUCUCCUAUCAAUUACGGUCUGCAAGUGCAAGAAAGUGGGGGAAUACCUAAUGAGUGAGUAUCACUUGAACCUCUAUUGUUUCUGCUUCUCAAAUCUCUAAAAACAGAUUCCUUGACCAUACAUGGAGUCCCCUUGACCAUACAUGGAGUCC
rnacentral:misc_RNA from 1 species